rnacentral:rRNA from 1 species
UAGGGGGAACUCAGCGGAAGGGAAUCAUU